rnacentral:rRNA from 1 species
CCUACGGGUGGCAGCAGUGGGGAACAUUGGACAAUGGGGGGAACCCUGAUCCAGCCAUGCCGCGUGUGUGAAGAAGGCCCUCGGGUUGUAAAGCACUUUCAGUGAGGAAGAACGCCUGGUGGUUAAUACCCAUCAGGAAAGACAUCACUCUCAGAAGAAGCACCGGCUAACUCCGUGCCAGCAGCCGCGGUAAUACGGAGGGUGCGAGCGUUAAUCGGAAUUACUGGGCGUAAAGCGCGCGUAGGUGGCUUGAUAAGCCGGUUGUGAAAGCCCCGGGCUCAACCUGGGAACGGCAUCCGGAACUGUCAAGCUAGAGUGCAGGAGAGGAAGGUAGAAUUCCCGGUGUAGCGGUGAAAUGCGUAGAGAUCGGGAGGAAUACCAGUGGCGAAGGCGGCCUUCUGGACUGACACUGACACUGAGGUGCGAAAGCGUGGGUAGCAAACAGGAUUAGAUACCCCGGUAGUC